UACGUAGGGGGCGAGCGUUGUCCGGAUUUAUUGGGCGUAAAGAGCGUGUAGGCGGCCAGGUAGGUCGGUUGUGAAAACUGGAGGCUUAACCUUCAGACGUCGACCGAAACCAUCUGGCUAGAGUCCGGAAGAGGAGAGUGGAAUUCCUGGUGUAGCGGUGAAAUGCGCAGAUAUCAGGAGGAACACCGAUGGCGAAGGUAGGUCUCUGGGCCACUACUGACGCUGAGAAGCGAAAGCAUGGGGAGCGAACAGG
rnacentral:rRNA from 1 species